UCAUUAAAUGCUCAUUUCCACUUGCAAUCUUACUAUGUUUCACUUAAAGUGUAACAUCCUCAAAACCCCAUUGGUCGUAAAUAAUAUUAGAUAAAAUUUUAGUGAAAUAAGGUAUAAGAUCAAAGAAAAUGAAAGUUGCAAGAUAUCAAAAGAGAGUUAAAUCAAGAAGCAUGACAUGAUGUAUAAUUGAUUUCUCGAUAAAAUGAGAAAAUGAUAUGAAGAUGAUAAAAGAGAAUAUUGAGGAGUAUUAAAAAUAAUAAUUAAAAAUUAGGUUUUAGUAUAUAGAUUUAAAGUAAGGACUAAAUCGUAAAUAUGUGAAAAGUUU
rnacentral:lncRNA from 1 species